ACGAUGAAGGCCUUUUUGGUUGUAAAGUUCUUUUACGAGGGAUAAUUAUGAUAGUACUUCGUGAAUAAGUGACAGCAAACUAUGUGCCAGCAGCUGCGGUAAUACAUAGGUCGCGAGCAUUAUUCGGAUUUAUUGGGCGUAAAGCAAGCGCAGGCGGAUGUGUAAGUUCUGUGUUAAAUGCAGCUACUCAAUAGUUGUAUGCACCGAAUACUACAUGUCUAGAUUGUGGUAGGGAGUUUCGGAAUUAAGCAUGGAGCGGUGGAAUGUGUAGAUAUGCUUAAGAACACCAGAGGCGAAGGCGGAAACUUAGGCCAUAAAUGACGCUUAGGCUUGAAAGUGUGGGGAGCAAAUGGGAUUAGAUACCCCAGUAGUCCACACCGUAAACGAUGGGUAUUAGAUAUUAGGGCUUUAGCUUUAGUGUUGUAGCUUACGCGUUAAAUACCCCGCCAUGGGUAGUACAUAUGCA
rnacentral:rRNA from 1 species